AUUGAACGCUGGCGGCAGGCCUAACACAUGCAAGUCGAGCGGAUGAAGGGAGCUUGCUCCUGGAUUCAGCGGCGGACGGGUGAGUAAUGCCUAGGAAUCUGCCUGGUAGUGGGGGAUAACGUCCGGAAACGGGCGCUAAUACCGCAUACGUCCUGAGGGAGAAAGUGGGGGAUCUUCGGACCUCACGCUAUCAGAUGAGCCUAGGUCGGAUUAGCUAGUUGGUGGGGUAAAGGCCUACCAAGGCGACGAUCCGUAACUGGUCUGAGAGGAUGAUCAGUCACACUGGAACUGAGACACGGUCCAAACUCCUACGGGAGGAAGCAGUGGGGAAUAUUGGACAAUGGGCGAAAGCCUGAUCCAGCCAUGCCGCGUGUGUGAAGAAGGUCUUCGGAUUGUAAAGCACUUUAAGUUGGGAGGAAGGGCAGUAAGUUAAUACCUUGCUGUUUUGACGUUACCAACAGAAUAAGCACCGGCUAACUUCGUG
rnacentral:rRNA from 1 species